rnacentral:rRNA from 1 species
UACGUAGGGGGCAAGCGUUAUCCGGAUUUACUGGGUGUAAAGGGAGCGUAGACGGAGCAGCAAGUCUGAUGUGAAAGGCGGGGGCUCAACCCUUGGACUGCAUUGGAAACUGUUGAUCUUGAGUACCGGAGAGGUAAGCGGAAUUCCUAGUGUAGCGGUGAAAUGCGUAGAUAUUAGGAGGAACACCAGUGGCGAAGGCGGCUUACUGGACGGUAACUGACGUUGAGGCUCGAAAGCGUGGGGAGCAAACAGG